ensembl:lncRNA
GUGUUUAAUGCAUAGUUGGUUUAUGAAGUGUUAUUUAUGCUUUGUUUUUUUUUAUCCCCAGAUAACCAUGGUUGAUAAAUGGUCAGGUACCCAAAUCAUAAAAUGUAUGGAGAUGUUCUGGGGAGUUUGAUCACCCGCUUUCCAUUUUUGAAGGAUGGCAGCUCCUCUGGUUAUGAUACCUUGUUGGAAUGCCUUAGAAACAAAUUUAAAAAAGAAAGGAUUCCCUUGGUUAGCUCAUCGAUCGUCCUGCAAAUGAAGGAGAAGUAUGGGAUUAAAAGGAAGUGUGCUGGACAAACAGAUUCUGAGGAACUUAGUCAACAACAAGAGGCAAGUUCAGUUCAAUAAAUUUGAUGUCGAAGGCAGAUUAAAUUUGUCUUAACAUGAAAUACAUGUUGACAAUUAUUUCAGAGUGCAAAAUGUAGAAGAGAACCAUUGGAUAUAUUGGCAUUUAAAGAUUCUGCUUGUUCGCAGGAGGUAUUUGGUUUAGUGAUCCUUAAGUGAUACAUCAGUUUUUAAGAUUGAUGUUUCAAUCUUAAAUAUUGUAUUCUGUGACUUUGAUUCAUAUUUACGUACUGCACAAUACUGUCUUCCUACCUCAGA